rnacentral:rRNA from 5 species
UUAAGUUAUUAAGGGCGCACGGUGGAUGCCUUGGCACUAGAAGCCGAUGAAGGACGUUACUAACGACGAUAUGCUUUGGGGAGCUGUAAGUAAGCUUUGAUCCAGAGAUUUCCGAAUGGGGAAACCCAGCAUGAGUUAUGUCAUGUUAUCGAUAUGUGAAUACAUAGCAUAUCAGAAGGCACACCCGGAGAACUGAAACAUCUUAGUACCCGGAGGAAGAGAAAGAAAAUUCGAUUCCCUUAGUAGCGGCGAGCGAAACGGGAAGAGCCCAAACCAAAAAGCUUGCUUGUUGGGGUUGUAGGACACUCUAUACGGAGUUACAAAGGACGACAUUAGACGAAUCAUCUGGAAAGAUGAAUCAAAGAAGGUAAUAAUCCUGUAGUCGAAAAUGUUGUCUCUCUUGAGUGGAUCCUGAGUAAGACGGAGCACGUGAAAUUCCGUCGGAAUCUGGGAGGACCAUCUCCUAAGGCUAAAUACUCUCUAGUGACCGAUAGUGAACCAGUACCGUGAGGGAAAGGUGAAAAGCACCCCGGAAGGGGAGUGAAAUAGAACCUGAAACCGUGUGCUUACAAGUAGUCAGAGCCCGUUAAUGGGUGAUGGCGUGCCUUUUGUAGAAUGAACCGGCGAGUUACGAUUUGAUGCAAGGUUAAGCAGUAAAUGUGGAGCCGUAGCGAAAGCGAGUCUGAAUAGGGCGUUUAGUAUUUGGUCGUAGACCCGAAACCAGGUGAUCUACCCUUGGUCAGGUUGAAGUUCAGGUAACACUGAAUGGAGGACCGAACCGACUUACGUUGAAAAGUGAGCGGAUGAACUGAGGGUAGCGGAGAAAUUCCAAUCGAACCUGGAGAUAGCUGGUUCUCUCCGAAAUAGCUUUAGGGCUAGCCUCAAGUGAUGAUUAUUGGAGGUAGAGCACUGUUUGGACGAGGGGCCCCUCUCGGGUUACCGAAUUCAGACAAACUCCGAAUGCCAAUUAAUUUAACUUGGGAGUCAGAACAUGGGUGAUAAGGUCCGUGUUCGAAAGGGAAACAGCCCAGACCACCAGCUAAGGUCCCAAAAUAUAUGUUAAGUGGAAAAGGAUGUGGCGUUGCCCAGACAACUAGGAUGUUGGCUUAGAAGCAGCCAUCAUUUAAAGAGUGCGUAAUAGCUCACUAGUCGAGUGACACUGCGCCGAAAAUGUACCGGGGCUAAACAUAUUACCGAAGCUGUGGAUUGUCCUUUGGACAAUGGUAGGAGAGCGUUCUAAGGGCGUUGAAGCAUGAUCGUAAGGACAUGUGGAGCGCUUAGAAGUGAGAAUGCCGGUGUGAGUAGCGAAAGACGGGUGAGAAUCCCGUCCACCGAUUGACUAAGGUUUCCAGAGGAAGGCUCGUCCGCUCUGGGUUAGUCGGGUCCUAAGCUGAGGCCGACAGGCGUAGGCGAUGGAUAACAGGUUGAUAUUCCUGUACCACCUAUAAUCGUUUUAAUCGAUGGGGGGACGCAGUAGGAUAGGCGAAGCGUGCGAUUGGAUUGCACGUCUAAGCAGUAAGGCUGAGUAUUAGGCAAAUCCGGUACUCGUUAAGGCUGAGCUGUGAUGGGGAGAAGACAUUGAGUCUUCGAGUCGUUGAUUUCACACUGCCGAGAAAAGCCUCUAGAUAGAAAAUAGGUGCCCGUACCGCAAACCGACACAGGUAGUCAAGAUGAGAAUUCUAAGGUGAGCGAGCGAACUCUCGUUAAGGAACUCGGCAAAAUGACCCCGUAACUUCGGGAGAAGGGGUGCUCUUUAGGGUUAACGCCCAGAAGAGCCGCAGUGAAUAGGCCCAAGCGACUGUUUAUCAAAAACACAGGUCUCUGCUAAACCGUAAGGUGAUGUAUAGGGGCUGACGCCUGCCCGGUGCUGGAAGGUUAAGAGGAGUGGUUAGCUUCUGCGAAGCUACGAAUCGAAGCCCCAGUAAACGGCGGCCGUAACUAUAACGGUCCUAAGGUAGCGAAAUUCCUUGUCGGGUAAGUUCCGACCCGCACGAAAGGCGUAACGAUUUGGGCACUGUCUCAACGAGAGACUCGGUGAAAUCAUAGUACCUGUGAAGAUGCAGGUUACCCGCGACAGGACGGAAAGACCCCGUGGAGCUUUACUGUAGCCUGAUAUUGAAAUUCGGCACAGCUUGUACAGGAUAGGUAGGAGCCUUUGAAACGUGAGCGCUAGCUUACGUGGAGGCGCUGGUGGGAUACUACCCUAGCUGUGUUGGCUUUCUAACCCGCACCACUUAUCGUGGUGGGAGACAGUGUCAAGCGGGCAGUUUGACUGGGGCGGUCGCCUCCUAAAAGGUAACGGAGGCGCUCAAAGGUUCCCUCAGAAUGGUUGGAAAUCAUUCAUAGAGUGUAAAGGCAUAAGGGAGCUUGACUGCGAGACCUACAAGUCGAGCAGGGUCGAAAGACGGACUUAGUGAUCCGGUGGUUCCGCAUGGAAGGGCCAUCGCUCAACGGAUAAAAGCUACCCCGGGGAUAACAGGCUUAUCUCCCCCAAGAGUUCACAUCGACGGGGAGGUUUGGCACCUCGAUGUCGGCUCAUCGCAUCCUGGGGCUGUAGUCGGUCCCAAGGGUUGGGCUGUUCGCCCAUUAAAGCGGUACGCGAGCUGGGUUCAGAACGUCGUGAGACAGUUCGGUCCCUAUCCGUCGUGGGCGUAGGAAAUUUGAGAGGAGCUGUCCUUAGUACGAGAGGACCGGGAUGGACAUACCUCUGGUGUACCAGUUGUCGUGCCAACGGCAUAGCUGGGUAGCUAUGUGUGGACGGGAUAAGUGCUGAAAGCAUCUAAGCAUGAAGCCCCCCUCAAGAUGAGAUUUCCCAACUUCGGUUAUAAGAUCCCUCAAAGAUGAUGAGGUUAAUAGGUUCGAGGUGGAAGCAUGGUGACAUGUGGAGCUGACGAAUACUAAUCGAUCGAAGACUUAAUCAA